rnacentral:rRNA from 1 species
CAGUAGCCGCGGGAAUACGGAGGGUGCAAGCGUUAAUCGGAAUUACUGGGCGUAAAGCGCACGCAGGCGGUCUGUCAAGUCAGAUGUGAAAUCCCCGGGCUUAACCUGGGAACUGCAUUUGAAACUGGCAGGCUAGAGUCUUGUAGAGGGGGGUAGAAUUCCAGGUGUAGCGGUGAAAUGCGUAGAGAUCUGGAGGAAUACCGAUGGCGAAGGCAGCCAUCUGGCCUAAUACUGACGCUGAGGUACGAAAGCAUGGGGAGCAAACAGGAUUAGAUACCCGUGUAGUCCCUGUCUCUUAUAC